rnacentral:rRNA from 1 species
GACGAACGCUGGCGGCGUGCUUAACACAUGCAAGUCGAACGCUGAAGCUCAGCUUUUGUUGGGUGGAUGAGUGGCGAACGGGUGAGUAACACGUGAGUAACCUGCCCCCUUCUUUGGGAUAACGCCCGGAAACGGGUGCUAAUACUGGAUAUUCACUGGUCUUCGCAUGGGGGUUGGUGGAGAGGGUUUUUCUGGUGGGGGAUGGGCCCGCGGCCUAUCAGCUUGUUGGUGGGGUGAUGGCCUACCAAGGCUUUGACGGGUAGCCGGCCUGAGAGGGUGACCGGUAACAUUGGGACUGAGAUACGGCCCAGACUCCUACGGGAGGCAGCAGUGGGGAAUAUUGCACAAUGGGCGCAAGCCUGAUGCAGCGACGCCGCGUGAGGGAUGGAGGCCUUCGGGUUGUGAACCUCUUUCGCUCAUGGUCAAGCCGCAACAAUGGUUGUGGUGAGGGUAGUGGGUAAAGAAGCGCCGGCUAACUACGUG